rnacentral:rRNA from 1 species
GCCCUGGCGGGUGCUACCAUGCAGUCGACGUGAAAUGGGGCAACCCAAAGUAAAGUGGCGUACGGGUGAGUAACGCGUAGGUAAUCUACCCUAGAGUCUGGAAUAACCGGCCGAAAGGCUGGCUAAUACUGGAUAGAGCGACGGAAUCGGUAAUUCGGUUUUUCGGGAAAGGGAGCCCGCAAGGGCCCUCGCUUUAGGAUGAGCCUGCGUCUCAUUAGCUAGUUGGUAAGGUAAUGGCUUACCAAGGCUUUGAUGGGUAGCUGGUCUGAGAGGAUGAUCAGCCACACUGGAACUGAAACACGGUCCAGACUCCUACGGGAGGCAGCAGUGGGGAAUCUUGCGCAAUGGACGAAAGUCUGACGCAGCCACGCCGCGUGAGUGAAGAAGGCCUUCGGGUUGUAAAGCUCUGUCGGAGGGGACGAACAUCUAUACAGUUAAGAGCUGGGUAGACUGACGGUACCCUCAAAGGAAGCACCGGCUAACUUCGUGCCAGCAGCCGCGGUAAUACGAGGGGUGCAAGCGUUGCUCGGAAUUAUUGGGCGUAAAGGGUAGGUAGGUGGUCUCAUUUGUCAGGGGUGAAAGCCUUGGGCUUAACUCAAGAAGUGCCCCUGAAACGGUAAGACUAGAGUACUGGAGAGGGUCGUGGAAUUCCCGGUGUAGCGGUGAAAUGCGUAGAGAUCGGGAGGAACACCAGAGGCGAAGGCGGCGACCUGGACAGUUACUGACACUCAACUACGAAAGCGUGGGGAGCAAACAGGAUUAGAUACCCUGGUAGUCCACGCCGUAAACGAUGGGUACUAGGCUUGGCGGGUCUUGACCCCUGCCGAGCCGGAGCUAACGCAAUAAGUACCCCGCCUGGGAAGUACGGUCGCAAGACUAAAACUCAAAGGAAUUGACGG